rnacentral:rRNA from 1 species
GACGAACGCUGGCGGCGUGCCUAAUACAUGCAAGUUGAGCGCUGAAGGUUGGUACUUGUACCAACUGGAUGAGCAGCGAACGGGUGAGUAACGCGUGGGGAAUCUGCCUUUGAGCGGGGGACAACAUUUGGAAACGAAUGCUAAUACCGCAUAAAAACUUUAAACACAAGUUUUAAGUUUGAAAGAUGCAAUUGCAUCACUCAAAGAUGAUCCCGCGUUGUAUUAGCUAGUUGGUGAGGUAAAGGCUCACCAAGGCGAUGAUACAUAGCCGACCUGAGAGGGUGAUCGGCCACAUUGGGACUGAGACACGGCCCAAACUCCUACGGGAGGCAGCAGUAGGGAAUCUUCGGCAAUGGACGAAAGUCUGACCGAGCAACGCCGCGUGAGUGAAGAAGGUUGUCGGAUCGUAAAACUCUGUUGGUAGAGAAGAACGUUGGUGAGAGUGGAAUGCUCAUCAAGUGACGGUAACUACCCAGAAAGGGACGGCUAACUACGUG